CAGCAGCCGCGGUAAAACCAGCAGCCCAAGUGGUGGUCGCGAUUAUUGGGCCUAAAGCGCUCGUAGCCGGGCCGGUAAGUCCCUUGUGAAAUCGGACGGCCUAACCGUUCGGCGUGCAAGGGAUACUGUCGGUCUUGAGGCCGGGAGACGUCCGAGGUACUCCGGGGGUAGCGGUGAAAUGUUCUGAUCCUCGGGGGACCACCGGUGGCGAAGGCGUUCGACGAGAACGGGCCUGACGGUGAGGGGCGAAGGCUAGGGGAGCAAACGGGAUUAGAUACCCCAGUAGUCCCUGUCUCUUAUA
rnacentral:rRNA from 1 species